GUGGGGAAUCUUAGACAAUGGGCGCAAGCCUGAUCUAGCCAUGCCGCGUGAUCGAUGAAGGCCUUAGGGUUGUAAAGAUCUUUCGCUGGGGAAGAUAAUGACUGUACCCCAAGAAGAAGCCCCGGCUAACUCCGUGCCAGCAGCCGCGGUAAUACGGAGGGGGCUAGCGUUGUUCGGAAUUACUGGGCGUAAAGCGCACGUAGGCGGACUGGAAAGUCAGGGGUGAAAUCCCGGGGCUCAACCCCGGAACUGCCUUUGAAACUCCCAGUCUUGAGUUCGAGAGAGGUGAGUGGAAUUCCGAGUGUAGAGGUGAAAUUCGUAGAUAUUCGGAGGAACACCAGUGGCGAAGGCGGCUCACUGGCUCGAUACUGACGCUGAGGUGCGAAAGCGUGGGGAGCAAACAGGAUUAGAAACCCGUGUAGUCC
rnacentral:rRNA from 1 species